rnacentral:rRNA from 5 species
GGUGCGAUCAUACCAGCAC